GUCUGACCUGCUGUGCUUUUCCAGCAACACAUUUUCAGCUCUGACCUCCACCAUCUGCAGUUCUCACUUUCUCCACGUGGUUCAAUAUUCAGGCGACUGUCCGUAAUCUCUCGCGAUAAGAUACGCCGCGGAGCGUGUUUCAACUCGCCGUAAAUCAGUUCAAAACCAGUCCGUCAUUAAUGGCAAAUGGAAAACUGAACAAGUGACAUUGGGCAGAAGAAAUGGGAAUUUGAAUGAACUGCCAUCAAAUAAGAUUGGGGGAAGAGAACAACUUGCAUCAAAAGAAAAGCUGAACCAUGAAGAAAGUGCUUAAAUAAUACACCUGGAGGAACAUGAAUGAUAUGUGCAGAGGUAUGCCAGCAACCUGUACAUGUCAUUGUAGUGGUUGUGGAUUGUGAUCAUGAAGGGGGAAGCUACAAGUCACUUGUGAAAUAAGCAUUUUCAGUAGAAAGCUUGUUAUCCAAACAGCAUUAAUCAUGUUGUAGCCAAUUUGUUUUGACAAAAUGUUAUAUCAGAAUGACAAUCUGACUAAUAUUUAAUUUCUCAUGAUAAAAUGAACUUUGAGGGGGUUGAGGGAAAUGGAUUGUAAAAUUGACUUGCAGAAACAGGUAAUCAAAGAUUUGAGACUUUGUACAUGUUCUUAGUUUACCUGCUUAAACUGAGUAUGAUCUUCAGAACAGGUAGGACUUGCCUCAGCCAGAGGGCCUGGAUUCAAGUUAACUGCCAUGGCACCACAAGUUCCUUGAGACUUUGUAUUCUUGAACAUUACUGAGAUUUAUUUAGCAUUGUGCUUGUAGAUAGCUUCAUAAGUCUGUUACAUAAUUAUUGAUUCGAUGCACCAAUAAACAUAUAAUGCCAAAGUUAA